rnacentral:rRNA from 1 species
UACGGGGGGGGCAAGCGUUGUUCGGAAUUACUGGGCGUAAAGGGCGCGUAGGCGGUGCUCUAAGUCGGAUGUGAAAACUCUGGGCUCAACCCAGAGCCUGCAUCCGAAACUGGAGUGCUAGAGUUCUGGAGGGGGUAGCGGAAUUCCUGGUGUAGCGGUGAAAUGCGUAGAUAUCAGGAGGAACACCGGUGGCGAAGGCGGCUACCUGGACAGAAACUGACGCUGGGGCGCGAAAGCUAGGGGAGCAAACAGG